rnacentral:rRNA from 1 species
GACGUAGGGCGCGAGCGUUGUCCGGAUUUAUUGGGCGUAAAGAGCUCGUAGGCGGCUUGUCGCGUCGUCCGUGAAAACCUGCAGCUUAACUGUGGGCUUGCGGUCGAUACGGGCAUCACUUGAGUUCGGCAGGGGAGACUGGAAUUCCUGGUGUAGCGGUGAAAUGCGCAGAUAUCAGGAGGGAACACCGGUGGGCGAAGGCGGGUCUCUGGGCCGAGUACUGACGCU